GCUGAAUAAACAAAUGGCAAAGGAAAGAAACAAGGAGAAAGAAGACAAAACAAGCCUACAAACUUUUACUUUUGUCUUGGUCUUCAACGUCCACUUCUUACCAUGCAUGCACGUCCAUGUGCAUGCAAUUAAAGAGGUAGAAUAAAAUAAUGGUCUUCCCCUCUCGCGGCUACACGCUCUCUUCAUUCUUCACGCUUGCGGCUCAUAGAUCCACAUGCGAUCUUCUUCUGACAAUUUCGGCCAAUUCACAUGCUCUACUGACUCGCACGUGGUUGAGUUCACAUACUCUCGUUCAACGGGCUCAAAUCGAGACAUAUUUUCAACAAUCUCCACCUUGCUCGACGUUUGAGCCAAAUCAUAAUCGCUUCAGUGGACACCUCACUGCUACUCUCCCACAGCCCCAACUGGCUCAACCGCCACAAAGUGCUUCCAAGUUCAAGCCGCGCUUGAACUUUCCCAUAACCGUGGACCUCAUCAAGACACCAACUCCACCUGCAUAAUUAACUACUCCACAAGGAUUUUCCGACAUAACCUCCUGUAUCAUAGAUAAAGCAAAAACAUCGUUGCUUCCAUAUUUGACAGAAGGUCGAACAUGCACCUUGUCAAAUUCAGCAGCUACAACAACUGUUGGCUCUAUCGGCUCCACCUCGCUACAAGCAUCAUCCGUGUCGAUUAUUAUGCUAGUACCCGCUACCUCAGGAGUUUCUGGUUGCAACUCCACCUUGAGCUGAACACCGUCCAGAUCCGUAUUAACACUGCCAAAAACACUCCUAUCCAGAAGUACUGGAGACUUGUUAAAGGUAACUUCUCUGCUGUCAACAGGUGAAUUUAUAUCCGGGCACCACAAUUGAUCGCCCCACUCACCUUGUGCAUAGCCAUGAUAUAUGCACCUUGCCCUCCCAUUGAGCUUACCAUCACUCACUCGAAAAUAACAUGGGCAACCAAACAUUCUAAAAAUAGAAUAAUCAGCAACGUUACCUGACCACACUUCUUCAGGAGUCUGCCAUUCAAUAGCAGUUGAUGGGGAUCUAUUCAUCAGGUAACUUACCGUACUAAGCACAUCAACUAGGAUUCUCUUAGCAACACCAGCACUAGAGAUCAUUUUACGGGCCGUCUCUAGUAAUGUUCUGCUCAUCAAUUCUGCAAAUUGUUGUGAUUUACUGGCACUAGUGCGGUGUUUCACUAUGCCCUCUUUCAUGCAGAAUUUAUUUGACAGCUCCAAGCAAAACUCCAUGCUAUUGUCAGUCCGCACAUGCUUGAUCUACUUACCAGUCUCCGUCUCGAUCAAAGCUCUCGACCGCGUGAUCCUGACACCAGCAUCAAACUUGUGCAUCGGGACAAACACCCAGGUCUUCCUCGAGCAGUCAAAAGACUCUCGAACAGAUGCAUCCAACGUCUCCAGGGCGGAACCUGUCACUGUCUCACCUUGAAGUUUAUACAGGCCUCCAUGCUUGAUUCCUUUCAUUAUCACCAGGGCACCUUGAACAACCUUCAAAACUCCACCUUUUGAAGAAUACCUGCAACCAACUGAAUCUAGGGCACCCAAGGAAAUUAAGUUCUUUUUCAAUUCUGGAACAUGUCUUACUCCAGUCAAUGUCCUCACAAUACCAUCAUGCAUUCUGAUUUUAACAUCACCAACACCCACAAACAUCGCACUCAGCGUUGUUCCCUAGCUGGGCUUUACCAUUACCCAUGCACUGAUAAGUGAUAAAACAGUUCCUAUUUGGUGUAACGUGAAAUGAACAACCAGAAUCCAUUAUCCAUCCGUCAAAUGACGAAUCCUCAGUGACAGACAAGACACAAUCGACACCAUCAGAAUCAUUCUUAGCUACAGCUGCAACAUUUUCUAUAGACUCAACUCUAAUUCCCUUACCCUUUUCAUUAUUCAGCUUAAAACAGUCUCUUCUACGAUGCCCACUAUUGCCACAAUUCCAACAGACAAUCCUACCAGUCCUAGAUUGACUUCGUCUGUUCAUGUUCCUGCUAACACGUGUGCUAGUUCUUCCUCUACCUUCACCUACUAAAGCAAUAGACACGGGUUCAUCAGAUUCUUUCCUACGAAUGUCUUCACUCAGAAUCAAAUCACGAACCUCAUCAAACGUCAAACUUCUUGACCCAGAGGAAUUACUAACAGCAGUAACGGUAGUAUUCCAACUAUCAAGCAAUGAGGAUAAUAAAAUCAAUGCACAUACCUCAUCUUCAAAGUUAAUCUCAACCGAACUCAAUAGGUUAACGACCUCAUUGAAUUCGUUGAUAUGUUCAGCUACUGACUUACCUUCGCCCAUCUUUAAGUGAAACAGACGUCGCAUCAAAUAGACCUUAUUGAUCGCAGAGGGUUUCUCGUACAUAUUCGACAGGGCUUUCAUCAGUCCCGCAGUCGUUUUCUCCUUCACGAUGUUAAAUGCGACGUUACGAGCCAACGUCAGCCGAAUAACACCCAUCGCUUGUCUAUCCAGCAAUUCCCACUCGUCAUCCUUCAUCGAGUUUGGUUUCUCCCCGGAUAAGGGCAAAUGCAAAUUUCUCUGGUACAGACAAUCUUCAAUCUGCAUUUUCCAGAAAGCAAAAUCCUUCCCAUCAAAUCGGUCGAUUCUCACCUUUCCAUCUUCCAUCGUUACCGAUUCGCUUCACGUCAGCCAAACCAGGCUCUGAUACCACUUGGUGUCGCGCGCGUGCGGAAUAUAGACGGACCGAGCGAAUCGGAUAAAAUAGUCGAAAUGAAGGAAAGGAAAUUGGACACCGGAUUUACAUGGUUCAGUCUGAAUAUCGGAACCUACGUCCACGGGAAGAGCAGCACUGAAUUCCACUAUAGAAACAAGCGAUACACCGGAGAUUACAAUCACUCGAGUACUCAAACACACUCUUAGUGUUUUCCAGCCCCAAAUUAUACCCAAAUAACUCACACAGUGUUUAGCCUCUCAUAAUUCCUAGUGAAACCUCACUUAAGGAAUUAAAUAAAUUCUACUCACAAGAAUUUAACUGGCUAAAACACUCGGAUGUAAUUUCAACGAGAAAAUCUCUCUCUGCCGAGAGCUUCUGAAGCCUCACGACUUCUCUCUUCAGCUCUCUCUCUCGGCCACCGAAAUAACUCAGUGCGGCACCAUCUUCUCCUUCGCUCCUCUGCCUUUUAAGGGCGAAACAAGACAAAAAAUGUGAAGCCAUUCAGGCGCUCGCAAUUAGCACUGACGCCCACCAAAAUUCACGGGCACGCAUGCAUACUUUGCAUUUAAUGAGGCAGAAAACGUGUGCCCAUAAUGUAAGAGCGAAAGAAGGAUGGCCGCCGUCUUCCAAGACCAUCUCCACGACGUUGAACUCCUUCAGGUAAUAUUUUAUCCUUUCUUUCCUUUGGUUGUCUGCAGUUGAAUAAACAAAUGGCAAAGGAAAGAAACAAGGAGAAAGAAGACAAAACAAGCCUACAAACUUUUACUUUUGUCUUGGUCUUCAACGUCCACUUCUUACCAUGCAUGCACGUCCAUGUGCAUGCAAUUAAAGAGGUAGAAUAAAAUAAUGGUCUUCCCCUCUCGCGGCUGCACGCUCUCUUCAUUCUUCACGCUUGCGGCUCAUAGAUCCGCAUGCGAUCUUCU
rnacentral:lncRNA from 1 species